rnacentral:rRNA from 1 species
UACAGAGGUCUCAAGCGUUGUUCGGAUUCAUUGGGCGUAAAGGGUGUGUAGGUGGCGCCGUAAGUCGGGUGUGAAAUUUCGGAGCUUAACUCCGAAACUGCAUUCGAUACUGCGGUGCUUGAGGUCUGGAGAGGAGACUGGAAUUCAUGGUGUAGCAGUGAAAUGCGUAGAGAUCAUGAGGAAGACCAGUGGCGAAGGCGGGUCUCUGGACAGUUCCUGACACUGAGACACGAAGGCCAGGGGAGCAAACGGG